AACCAGAGGUGACGGACUCGAUACGAUCGAUUUCGUCUUCUUUCGUGUGGGGCUUAACCCUUGUUUGGCGUUUACCGUGUGUUUUGCAAGUACUCGUCGACUUGUGGUGUUAAUUCCACCGAUCGAAAUAGCAAUCCUGUCAUGGGUUUUGUAAACGUGGAGUGCCGCAGUGUCGCGCGAAAGACUUUAUAAAUGAAUAGUCCGCGCGCGUUUAUAGUGUACUUUUCGCGAGUGUUUUACGCGAGUGUCCUGUGCGAGAGGAUGUCAACCCGAUUCUGAGAGGAGGAAGAGGUCUAGGAGAGGCAUCGGGCACCGGCGGAGCAACCUUGCGAAUCAUCGUAGCGACGUUGCAGACUUAACUCCGCUGUUGCGCGUCGGGUCGGUGAGUGAC